rnacentral:rRNA from 1 species
GACGAACGCUGGCGGCGUGCUUAACACAUGCAAGUCGAACGGAAAGGCCCUGCUUGCAGGGUACUCGAGUGGCGAACGGGUGAGUAACACGUGGGUGAUCUGCCCUGCACUUCGGGAUAAGCUUGGGAAACUGGGUCUAAUACCGGAUAGGAACCAUCUUUAGUGUGGUGGUUGGAAAGUUUUUUCGGUGUAGGAUGAGCUCGCGGCCUAUCAGCUUGUUGGUGGGGUAAUGGCCUACCAAGGCGGCGACGGGUAGCCGGCCUGAGAGGGUGUACGGCCACAUUGGGACUGAGAGACGGCCCAGACUCCUACGGGAGGCAGCAGUGGGGAAUAUUGCACAAUGGGCGCAAGCCUGAUGCAGCGACGCCGCGUGGGGGAUGAAGGCCUUCGGGUUGUAAACUCCUUUCGCUAGGGACGAAGCGUUGUUGUGACGGUACCUAGAGAAGAAGCACCGGCUAACUACGUG